rnacentral:lncRNA from 1 species
UUCCAGAUGGAAAGCUGCGCGGUUUUGCCUUCGUGCAGUUCCGGAAUGUCCUGGAAGCAGGAAAAGCCCUGAAGGGGAUGAACAUGAAGGAGAUCAAAGAGCGCCCCGUGGCUGUGGAUUGGGCUGUGGCCCGGGAGAAGUUCCAGGCUGCACAGGCAGAAGGCGGCGUCCCCGCUGAGAAGAAGAAAGGCCAGCCGGGCAGUGCGGGUGGGAGUGAAGGGACGCAAGGGAGACUGGAGGCUUCUGGGCCAGGGAGGCCGAGCAGGGACCCCAGGCUUCCAAGUCCCCCCGGGGAGAGCCAAGACGAAGAGCAGGAGGAGGAACCCAGCGAGGCCGGGAGUUCGGAGGAGGAGGGGGAGGAGAGCGUGGAGGAGGAAGAGGAAGAAGAAGGAGCAGGUUGGUGGGUCCAGGUGCUUCCGGGGGGGACGUGGGGGGAUGAGGAGGGCCUGCACCCGUAGAAUCAGCCAAU